GCCUCUGUAGUAUAAUUAUUACCCUGGUCUUGUAAACCAGUAAUGGGAACUCAAAACCCCCUGAGACA
rnacentral:tRNA from 1 species